rnacentral:lncRNA from 1 species
ACAAAAUCAUGGAGUCUAUGUAAUACUUCACUGUAGAUGAAAGACAUCUAAGACACAUAUAUAGCUAGAAUCCAUUAUAACAAAUAGCAAUUUCCCCUGAGUUCAGUGUCCACGACAAGCAAAUAAAAUUUCAGGAGGAUAUUAACAAAUGGGAUAUCUUGAUCAAAAUCUGUAGAGAUAUGGAAAGCCAUGACUCCAGUUGCCAACUUCACAAUGUUUACCAUUAGGCUGUGACUCAACUAUGGUCCCAAGGGGAAGAAACUUGAAACGACAGCAGCGACUACGGACACAGAUGGACCCCAGACAUUCAGACUGAAACUUGACGACGACGCUGAACCUUCUUGACCC